AGUAAUGGGAAUUCUGGAUCAAAGGGUUUCAAAUGUUGUGGAGGGAUAAUGGCAUCAAAAGCGGUUUCUCUUCUGUGAGAUUUUUAUGAACAAGGAAACUAUAAUGCUCCAAAGCUUCACAGGCCAUGGGUUAAUCAGGCUUAUCAUUUGAUCUCUGUGCAUUGAUUCUUCUUGUUGAAUCCUCUCCUGCCUUUGUACAACUAGGUAAGACCUUUCAACUUAUGAUUCCUUGUUUUUCUGAACAUCAUGUACAUCAUGUAAAGUUUUAUGAUGCACCUUUGCUGUGUAUUGAAUGAUUAUCAGUUCCUUGUGCAUAUAACAAGUGGGCUGCAUUGUGUGACCUUUCUAUAUUAUAACCUGUUAACAAUGGAAUGACAUUGAUUAG